GAUGAACGCUGGCGGCGUGCCUAAUACAUGCAAGUCGAGCGAACGGAUGAGAAGCUUGCUUCUCUGAUGUUAGCGGCGGACGGGUGAGUAACACGUGGAUAACCUACCUAUAAGACUGGGAUAACUUCGGGAAACCGGAGCUAAUACCGGUUGAUAUUUUGAACCGCAUGGUUCAAAAGUGAAAGACGGUCUUGCUGUCACUUAUAGAUGGAUCCGCGCUGCAUUAGCUAGUUGGUAAGGUAACGGCUUACCAAGGCAACGAUGCAUAGCCGACCUGAGAGGGUGAUCGGCCACACUGGAACUGAGACACGGUCCAGACUCCUACGGGAGGCAGCAGUAGGGAAUCUUCCGCAAUGGGCGAAAGCCUGACGGAGCAACGCCGCGUGAGUGAUGAAGGUCUUCGGAUCGUAAAACUCUGUUAUUAGGGAAGAACAUAUGUGUAAGUAACUGUGCACAUCUUGACGGUACCUAAUCAGAAAGCCACGGCUAACUACGUG
rnacentral:rRNA from 1 species